rnacentral:rRNA from 1 species
GAUGAACGCUGGCGGCGUGCCUAAUACAUGCAAGCCGAGCGAACGGACGAGAAGCUUGCUUCUCUGAUGUUAGCGGCGGACGGGUGAGUAACACGUGGAUAACCUACCUAUAAGACUGGGAUAACUUCGGGAAACCGGAGCUAAUACCGGAUAAUAUUUUGAACCGCAUGGUUCAAAAGUGAAAGACGGUCUUGCUGUCACUUAUAGAUGGAUCCGCGCUGCAUUAGCUAGUUGGUAAGGUAACGGCUUACCAAGGCAACGAUGCAUAGCCGACCUGAGAGGGUGAUCGGCCACACUGGAACUGCGACACGGUCCAGACUCCUACGGGAGGCAGCAGUAGGGAAUCUUCCGCAAUGGGCGAAAGCCUGACGGAGCAACGCCGCGUGAGUGAUGAAGGUCUUCGGAUCGUAAAACUCUGUUAUUAGGGAAGAACAUAUGUGUAAGUAACUGUGCACAUCUUGACGGUACCUAAUCAGAAAGCCACGGCUAACUACGUG